rnacentral:rRNA from 1 species
AACGCUAGCGGGAGGCUUAACACAUGCAAGUCGAGGGGCAUCACGAGGUAGCAAUACUUUGGUGGCGACCGGCGCACGGGUGAGUAACGCGUAUGCAACCUGCCUAUUACAGGAGGAUAGCUUCCGGAAACGGAAAUUAAUACUCCAUAAAGUUUUAAUAAGGCAUCUUAUAAAAAUUAAAGCUCCGGCGGUAAUAGAUGGGCAUGCGUAACAUUAACUAGUUGGUAAGGUAACGGCUUACCAAGGCAACGAUGUUUAGGGGUCCUGAGAGGGUAACCCCCCACACUGGUACUGAGACACGGACCAGACUCCUACGGGAGGCAGCAGUGAGGAAUAUUGGUCAAUGGGCGCAAGCCUGAACCAGCCAUCCCGCGUGCAGGAAGACGGCCCUAUGGGUUGUAAACUGCUUUUCUGAGGGAAGAAUAGUUUAGAUUCGUUCAAGACAUGACGGUACCUCAGGAAUAAGCAUCGGCUAACUCCGUGCCAGCAGCCGCGGUAAUACGGAGGAUGCAAGCGUUAUCCGGAUUAAUUGGGUUUAAAGGGUGCGUAGGCGGACCUGUAAGUCAGUGGUGAAAUCCUGCAGCUUAACUGUAGCAUUGCCAUUGAAACUGUAGGUCUUGAGUUAGGUAGAGGUAGGCGGAAUGUGUAAUGUAGCGGUGACAUGCUUAAAUAUUACACAGAACACCGAUUGCGUAGGCAGCUUACUGGACCUUAACUGACGCUGAGGCACGAAAGCGUGGGGAGCGAACAGGAUUAGAUACCAUGGUAGUCCACGCCGUAAACUAUGAUUACUCGUUGUUGGCAAUACACAGUCAGCGACCAAGCGAAAGCGAUAAGUAAUCCACCUGGGGAGUACGCUCGCAAGAGUGAAACUCAAAGGAAUUGACGGGGGCCCGCACAAGCGGUGGAACAUGUGGUUUAAUUCGAUGAUACGCGAGGAACCUUACCUGGGCUUAAAUGUAGACUGCAUAGUGUGGAACGCACUGUUUCUUUCGAGACUGUUUACAAGGUGCUGCAUGGUUGUCGUCAGCUCGUGCCGUGAGGUGUCGGGUUAAGUCCCAUA